CCGCCAGUCUGAGAAAGAGAGCAACCACCGCCACAGACGUUUCAGCCCGGAGAGGCGACUUAAGCCCGACUUCACAGAACUGUUCGAGGAUCACUCUGGAGUGCUGCCAGUUGGGGAUUUUAAACCUGCGGCUUGCUUUCCCGAGAAAGAGCCUGGAUGGCACACUCUGACUGAUUCAGAGGAAAAGCUGAGUAGUUUUAAUUCCUGCACAGGGAGCAACAUGCAUAUCCUGCAGCCGUACUGCAUUAACAGAUGGCCAGAUGUGCCAAAGAGAAAGAGGAAAAACAGCCAGUGCUCCAUGAAGAGCAUGUCUGGAUACAUCCCCAGCUACCUGGAGAAGGAUGAGCCGUGCGUGGUGUGUGGGGACAAGGCCACCGGCUACCACUACCGCUGCAUAACCUGCGAAGGCUGCAAGGGUUUCUUCCGCAGGACAAUCCAGAAAAAUCUCCAUCCUUCUUACACCUGUAAAUAUGAAGGCUGCUGCAUCAUUGACAAGAUCACACGCAAUCAGUGCCAGCUGUGCAGAUUCCAGAAGUGCAUCUCUGUGGGCAUGGCCAUGGACUUGGUGCUGGAUGAGAGCAAGCGCGUGGCCAAGCGGCGCCUCAUCGAAGAGAACCGAGAGCGGAGGAAGAGGGAAGAGAUGGUGCGGACGCUGCAGAUCAGGCCGGAGCCAGACAGCGCAGAGUGGGAGCUGAUCAGGAUGGUGACUGAGGCGCACCGGCACACCAACGCCCAGGGCUCCUCCUGGAAACAGAAGCGCAAAUUUCUGGCGGACGACAUCGGCCAUGGUCAACUGAUGCCCACUUCAGACGGAGAUAAGGUCGACCUGGAGGUCUUCAGUGAGUUCACCAAGAUCAUGACCCCUGCCAUCACCCGCGUUGUUGACUUUGCCAAGAAACUGCCCAUGUUUUCAGAGCUGCCUUGUGAAGACCAGAUCAUCCUGCUGAAGGGUUGCUGCAUGGAGAUCAUGUCACUGCGCGCCGCCGUGCGCUACGACCCCGAAAGCGAAACGUUGACGCUCAGCGGCGAGAUGGCCGUAAAGCGUGAGCACUUGAAAAACGGCGGGCUCGGGGUGGUUUCGGACGCCAUAUUUGAUCUGGGCAAAAGCCUGGCACAGUUCAACUUGGAUGACUCCGAGGUGGCACUGAUGCAAGCGGUGCUGCUCAUGAGCUCAGAUCGGUCGGGGCUGAUGAGCGUGGAGAAGAUCGAGCGGUGCCAGGAGGCCUACCUACUGGCUUUCGAGCACUACAUUAACUACCGUAAGCACAACAUUCCCCACUUCUGGCCAAAGCUCUUGAUGAAGGUCACAGACCUGCGGAUGAUCGGCGCCUGCCACGCCAGCCGCUUCCUCCACAUGAAGGUCGAGUGUCCAAACGAACUCUUCCCGCCACUCUUCCUGGAAGUCUUCGAGGACCAGGAAGUGUGACAUCGCGCCCCGCAGCUUGGGGUUUGGCAGUAAAGGAAGCAUCGGCCAUGGAUGAACAUCAUAGGAAAAAACUGGAUUUUGUUUUCAUUUGUGAGAACGUGCCCUGUACAUUUUUCUGUUAUUUGCCCAUUUCUGUCAAACACAAGACUUUGACCUUCUGCCACCAGCAAAAUCUCAUCAGCAUCAUGAAACAGGUGUUCUACAGCUGGUAGUUUUUCAAGACUAUGCCAUAAACGUGCAUCUAUAUGCAAAUCCAAAUUGCAUCUAUGAGGAGGGCUGGACUGGUGCCACACCUAAUGCAAACUGAGGGGCUUUGCUAGCAGCACACCUUAGUGAAAUCUCAAGCACAUGUCUUCGAGGGUUUUUUCUUGUCCUGGACCUGACAUCUGGCACUUUUGACAAUCCCAACAACCAUCCCACUGAACUCCCACCUCCCCAACAUCUCCAAGAGCAAAAGCUUCCACUUUCAAUCCACUGAGUGUUCGUCAACCUACCUCCGUCACACAAACCUUCACACUGAGAAACACACUCACAGAAUCCCUUUCUGAUAAGUUGUGGGAAGCAGCCUCUCAGUCUCCAUGUGUUCUCAUCUUGACCCCCUGACCUGUUUCCUCCCGAGCCGCACCAUCCCUGGUAGGGACCUGUAGCACCCCCUCAUCUCCCCACUCAACCCCUCCGCCCGUAACUGCCUGAAACCAACAAGACUCUACCUCACCUCUCGUCUCCAUGGAGCCGCCCCUCAGAACCCAACACGAGCACAUCUGAAACUUAAAACACUAACGCAGUUAUUAGCUGUGCGUCCCCACUGUGAACGGAUACGUCAGCAGCGUCAGUCUGCUGAAGGCGCUGCUCCUCUUUAACGUGCUGUCUGUCGCUUUCACCUGGUUUGUUUUUCUAACUGCCCACAUGGGACCAAGAGUCGCUCUGAGUUCAGGGUUUUUCUUUCAGAACCAGAACUUGACGGCAGCCUGGUGGGUGAAGGAGUGACGGUAAAUGAAUGAACUUCGAAGAGACCAUGACAGCGUUCUGGCGGGUGGAGCCGUUUCGGCCCGGUCGGGUCAGGACUCUGGUGGGUGACUCAGCAGUUUGGAAAGCACAUAAUGGACUAAAAUCCUCCCCGGAGAAAUGAACACCCGGCCUCCAGAAACCUGCAGGGAGAAAAGCUCUGUGAACCACGUCUUCAGGUGCCAUCCACUGCAAAACAAAAAAAAGAAACACAGACUUAUCAGGUUCUGUUUUGCACUAAAACCAUGCUGUCUGUAUCCUGAACCGCUCUGGACUCUUUUCCUCUCCGUCUCGUCGUCCUGCCGUUUUCAUCUUUCACUCCAUCUGUUGAUUCCGGAUGGUGAGGCUCGGGCAGUUAGGGGUCACUACUCACUAGCUGCGUUUCCAUUGUAAAUGUGUGCAAAUCUUUGACGAUAUUCUGCUGAUGUCAGGGAAAAAAAACACAAGUUUGCAAUUGAUGUGUUUCCAUGAAAAAAGGAAUUAAAUUAAAAUCACAUGUGAAUUAAAACGCGAGAAGUCAUUAAAAAUCAUGUCAGGAUGGUUGUAAACAGCUCCAUGAGAUUUAUAGCGCUCAUCAUCUAUCCGCCGAGAUGUUGACAUUUUAUUCAGACUUUGGGGCGACAAGCCCCGCCUACUUUGGAGCGGCUACGUAUGCUGCAGUUUGGGGAAAAGAGACCAUCAUCCUCCUUCCACUUCCUGUCUUCUUCAUCAUCGUUUUUGCCUGUACUAACAUCGAGCUGUUGAUCACGUGACUUGUGCGAUGCUGAGAAAAAGUGUUUCCAUCGAAGUUUUGCAGAAUACACAAAGUUUGAUACCGAAAAAUCACAAACCUUUUGUCGAAAAACCUGAGGUUUUUUUUUGUUUGUUUGUUUGUUUUGUUGUCGUUCAUUCUGAUAUAUGUUCAUGUGCCUCACAUGGGUGUAUUGUUACACUUCAUAGUGCUUGCAGAAAUAUUCGUACAUCUAACUCUUUCACAACUUUGUUGCAUUACAACCACAAACAUUGAUGUAUUUCACUGGGAUUCCAUGUGACCAGCACCAAGUUUCACAUGAUGGAGGUGAAAGUUUUACAUUUUUUGAAAAAUAGGAAAUAAGUUGCUCCUAUUUGAAAAUUUGGGGAAAUACCAAUAUCCAAUAUUUAUAUUGCUGUUACAGCUGAUAUUUAUCUAUAUUAUGUGUUUCACUUCUCCUUCAACACCUUGAACAAACCACAGCUGACUUAAUCACAACACUACCCACAAUCCUUUGCUGCAUCACCAUCACUGUCACAUGACCAGACAAACAUUACACCAGCAACGUCGACCCCUCCCCCUCCAAAGAUAAACAGCAACAAGAUAGAAAUAAAUAUCGGUUGUUAAUAUCGGCCCAGCUUCACUUAUCGGUCCAAUACAUGAUUUUUAAAACGGCCAGUAUCUACCGAUACCGAUUUUAGUGCUGAUAUAUCGUGCAUGCCAACUCAAAAGCUUACUUUGACACUCCUAAAUAGUAUCCAGAACACCAGAAUGUGUAAUAAAAAAAAAAAGUCACCAGACCAGAAACAUGGUGGUGGCAGCAUCAUACUGUGGGAAUACAGACAAAGAAACAUUUACAAGAUAAAUUAUAUAGAAAAAGUAUUAACUAUGCAUUAUUACUGCCAGUCUGUUGUUAAACAAACAUCCCCACAGCAUGAUGCUGCUACCACCGUUAUUUACCACAGAACCAUUCAUUUGUGUUGGUCUGGACAAUAAACUCCCAGUAAACUACAUUAGAAGUUUUUGGUUGCAAUAUGACAACAUGGGACAAAAUUAAAAAAUGAAAUGCAGUAUGAAUGCUUUUGCUGUGGACUAUCUGUACUAUACAUAUAAAUAUCUGUAAAUAUUUAAAGCUAAAUAUAUAUAUAUAAUAUAAAUAUUUCUAUGCACUCAGGCCCAGUCAGAUGAUUUCUCCAGGUGACAGAGUCUGGAUGAAAAUCAGCAGCAUUUCUCUCCGGCUGACAUGACGAUGCUUGUUGGACUCGUGGCGAUUACCAAGUAACCUUCUCAGUCCGCUGACCUUUGAGCUCGCCUGCAGGUCCAGCCAGCUCUCUCCUCUGUAUUUUUUUUUCUCUUCUUUUUGCUUUUUGCUGAGGUCGAGGGUCAGCGUUCCCCGUCGGUGAUGUAGAUGUGAGCUGGCAGCGCCUAACAGUCGGCGGAGGAAAACCACACCAGCACUCGUUUAUCUGCUCCAGGAUCUCUGGAGUUGCUCCGGCUGCUGCAGCUUUAGAAGCCAGCUCCGUUUUUAAUUUGACAGAAAAAUGAUAAUUAACUCCAACCCAGGACGACUUUACAACCUUUAAAUCGAAGCCGCAGAAUUAAUCAGGUGUUUGUUUUUUGUUUUGUUUUUUCACUUUGUAAAGAGAGAAUUGUGAUUUCUCUCUCUCGUGUUUACAGUCGUCCAAACUGUGAAUCAGAUGCUAAUCUCUGCCACUGCACCAAACCGUAACAGCUGAGGCGUUCUCCUCCUGACUUACCCAGGGGAAACGGCUCUGUCUCUAGCUCCGUCUGUCCUCCUGUCCUCUGUCUCUCUGUCUCUGCCUGUCCUGCACCCAGACGCCCACCCUGCUCCUCGGAGCUCUCAUUGGUGGAGGAAGAUAUGACAAUCCCUGCAGGAGUGUGUCUCCAUGUGGAAUGUAAAAUACUGCAAUUAUGUGAUUAAAGACACAUUGUGAAAUCUUCA